rnacentral:tRNA from 1 species
GGAGAGAUGGCAGAGCGGUUUAAUGCAGCGGUCUUGAAAACCGCCGAUGGUUAGUAGCCAUCCGUGAGUUCGAAUCUCACUCUCUCCGCCA